GAUGAACGCUGGCGGCGUGCCUAAUACAUGCAAGUCGAGCGAACGGACGAUAAGCUUGCUUCUCUGAUGUUAGCGGCGGACGGGUGAGUAACACGUGGAUAACCUACCUAUAAGACUGGGAUAACUUCGGGAAACCGGAGCUAAUACCGGAUAAUAUUUUGAACCGCAUGGUUCAAAAGUGAAAGACGGUCUUGCUGUCACUUAUAGAUGGAUCCGCGCUGCAUUAGCUAGUUGGUAAGGUAACGGCUUUCCAAGGCAACGAUGCGUAGCCGACCUGAGAGGGGGGUAGGCCCCACUGGGACUGGGACAGGGGCAAGGAUCCUAAGGGAGGGCAAAGGGGGGAAAUGUAGCGAAAGGGGGGAAAGCUUGAAGAAGAAACGCGGGGGUGGGGAAGAAGCGCUGCGGGUGGUAAAACGGUGUUAGGGGGGAAAAACGUUUUUGUAAGUAACGGAGAGUAAGUGAAGGUAACGGAAAAAGAAGGCCCGGCUAACUAAGUG
rnacentral:rRNA from 1 species